rnacentral:misc_RNA from 1 species
GCGGAGGAAAAGAACCCACCGGGGAUUGCCCCAGUAACGGCGAGUGAAGCGGCAAAAGCUCAAAUUUGAAAUCUGGCUCCUUUCGGGGUCCGAGUUGUAAUCUGAAGAGGAUGCUUUGGGUGCGUCCGCGGCGUAAGUCCCUUGGAACAGGGCGUCAUAGAGCGUGAGAAUCCCGUCUUGAGUCGCCGGCGCGCGCCCGUUUAAAGCUCCUUCGACGAGUCGAGUUGUUUGGGAAUGCAGCUCUAAGUGGGUGGUAAAUUUCAUCUAAAGCUAAAUAUUGGCCGGAGACCGAUAGCGAACAAGUAGAGUGAUCGAAAGGUUAAAAGCACCUUGAAAAGGGAGUUAAAUAGCACGUGAAAUUGUUGAAAGGGAAGCGCUUGCAGCCAGACUCGGGUUCGGAGGCUCAGCGGGUAUUGUUAUGCCCGUGCACUCCUCCGCACCCGGGCCAGCAUCAGUUUUGGCGGCCGGUCAAAGGCCCCCGGAAUGUGUCGUCCUCCGGGACGUCUUAUAGCCGGGGGUGCAAUGCGGCCAGCCGGGACUGAGGAACGCGCUUCGGCACGGAUGCUGGCGUAAUGGCUGUAAGCGGCCCGUCUUGAAACACGGACCAAGGAGUCUAACAUCCACGCGAGUGUUCGGGUGUCAAACCCGUACGCGCAGUGAAAGCGAACGGAGGUGAGAGCCCCUUCGGGGGCGCAUCAUCGACCGAUCCUGAAGUCUUCGGAUGGAUUUGAGUAAGAGCGUGGCUGUUGGGACCCGAAAGAUGGUGAACUAUGCCUGAAUAGGGUGAAGCCAGGAGAAAUUCUGGUGGAGGCUCGCAGCGGUUCUGACGUGCAAAUCGAUCGUCAAAUUUGGGUAUAGGGGCGAAAGACUA